rnacentral:rRNA from 1 species
UACGGAGGGUGCAAGCGUUAAUCGGAAUUACUGGGCGUAAAGAGUGCGUAGGUGGUUGCGUGUGUUAGAUGUGAAAUCCAUGGGCUUAACCUGUGAAUUGCAUUUAAAACUGCGUAGCUAGAGUGUUGUAGAGGGUGGCGGAAUUUCCAGUGUAGCGGUGAAAUGCGUAGAUAUUGGAAGGAACACCAGUGGCGAAGGCGGCCACCUGGACAAACACUGACACUGAGGUACGAAAGCGUGGGUAGCGAACAGG